UCUGCUAUCGUCAAAACUCCACCACCGUGAAUAAACCAAUUAAACAAAAACUAUUUUCUCUACAAUUUUUUUUUUCUGAAAACCAUUGUCUUCAAUCUUUCUUUUGUAAACCUACCACCAUUACAACUUCGAGAGAAAUUUUUCCCCUGAUUAUAUUAUUCUUCAAUCCUUCUAUUGAAAACCCACCAAUUUUUUCUCUUCAAUAUUAAUUCCUCGUGCUUGAUUUUCAAUAGGAAAAGUUAUGGUUUGCAAUUUCGAAGUUAGGGUUUGCAAUUGUUUUGGGGGAUUCGUUAUAAAGAUCAAGUUGUUUGUAGUUUCUAUUUUUUUUAGGUGAUUCCCCAUGAAAUCAUGUAUUCCUCGCAAAUCCCUUCAACAAAUUUCCGAUUUUCCCGACUCCAAUUUCCCACCGUUUCUUCUUCUAAUCUUAAGCAUUCGACAAGAAAUUUCAGAGACCAAAUCAGCAAGUUAAUGAUUCUUAAAAAACCCAUUUAUCCUCGAUUUAGACAUACCCGCAACAUGAGCAACGAUUCAGAUAAGAGAGAUCAAAGUACUUUACCUGUACCAGAGUUCCAGUUUGGUACUAGUUUGUGACAUCAACAUUUUGUCAUGCUAACUGGUGAGACUUCUCUACUUUUUGACGCUUCUUACUUAAUCUAAAGUAUCAUGAUGAUAAAGACGUACUUGAUGCUCGUAUAGAAAAGCUAUAAUCUUUUGAUCUGUGCGUAUUAUCCUCAAACACUUGUCAUAUACUCAGUUUUCUAACUUUUGGACUGCCUUCGUGGUGAUAAAGUUUCACAGGAACCAUCUCUCCAGCAAUCUGUUUUUCUUGUACAUUUUUCGUAAUUUUCUCUCUCUUUCUUUACCUGUGGGAAGUUUUAGUUCUAAUGGACAAAACCGCUUUGGUUUUUAGAGUCUCCAAAAUUAUGUGGAUGUCUUAUUUUGAUCUUUUCUUCUGCUUCUUGGGAAGAUUGUUGAGGAGGAAGGGAACUUUUCACUGUGGACUUCUUACAUUCUAACAGGUGUUGGAGCAAACCUGGUGUCAUGGUUAGUUCUCCCAAGAAAUGCAGUUUCUCUUGGAGCGUCUGGUGCUGUGUUCGGUCUAUUUGAUAUCAGUGUUCUUGUCAAGAUGUGAUGGCACUGGAGAAAGAUCCUUGAAGUUCGGCCAGUUCGUUAUCGAGAAGUCAGGUGAUGAGAGCAGCACAAGAUUCAACAGAAUGUCAGGUGCAAGUUCCGUUAUGCAAAGUGUCAAUCACAUUGCUCAUCUCUCUGGCUCUUUGGUCGGUGCAGGUGUCUAGUUUGACUUCUAAGUAGAGCUCCAUCUGAACCUUCCGACCGAGGCAUACCGAAGUUCAGUGAUAAUACAAAUCGAAAAACUUAAGUGCUUGUGGUGUAGCGAACCAACUUAUUAGCCUAUGAACGACAAAUGCAAAUGAGCAAGAUGGGAAGUGGCAAAGUGCUCGGGCGACACCAUCAAUGAAUCAACAAUGAUGCAUCACCAUUGUCAUGCUCUGUAAGCCAUGUGAAUUGGUUUGAUGGAGCAGCUAGUCGAGGUGGCUACUGCUUGUACCUGCUAUAGUGAUUACUGAUAGAGGUGAAUACCUAGUCUUUAACCAGUAGUCUGUUACUUGUGUUAUGUGUAUAACUUCUGAUGAUGCUAAACUGAUCUAGACGGACUAAGA